rnacentral:rRNA from 1 species
CGGAGGGUGCGAGCGUUAAUCGGAAUGACUGGGCGUAAAGGGCAUGUAGGCGGAUAAUUAAGUUAGGUGUGAAAGCCCUGGGCUCAACCUAGGAAUUGCACUUAAAACUAGGUUAACUAGAGUAUUGUAGAGGAAGGUAGAAUUCCACGUGUAGCGGUGAAAUGCGUAGAGAUGUGGAGGAAUACCGGUGGCGAAGGCGGCCUUCUGGACAGAUACUGACGCUGAGAUGCGAAAGCGUGGGGGAGACAAACAGGAUU